rnacentral:misc_RNA from 1 species
AAAAUGCGAUACUUGGUGUGAAUUGCAGAAUCCCGUGAACCAUCGAGUUUUUGAACGCAAGUUGCGCCCGAAGCCAUCCGGCUGAGGGCACGCCUCCCUGGGCGUCACGCAUCGCGUCGCUCCCCACCAUACCUCCCCAACGGGUUGGCAUGGUGUUGGGGGCGGAUAAUGGCCUCCCGUGCUUGUGUUUCGGUUGGCCUAAAUAAGAGUUCCCUUCGGCGGACACACGACUAGUGGUGGUUGAAUAGACCCUCGUCUUUUGUUGCGUGUCGUGAGCUGUAAGGGUAGCCCUCAUCAAAGACCCCAUUGUAUCGUCUUCGGAUGAUGCUUCGACCGCGACCCCAGGUCAGGCGGGACUACCCGCUGAGUUUAAGC